rnacentral:rRNA from 1 species
CCGGAAGGGAUAAACGCUGAAGGCAUCUAAGCGUGAAGCCCCCCUCAAGAUGAGAUAUCCCAUCCGAAAGGAGUAAACCCCCUUGAAGACGACGAGGUUGAUAGGGCAGGGGUGGAAGUGUGGUAACACAUGGAGCUGACUGCUACUAAUAGGGUGAGGGCUUGACCAAA